rnacentral:lncRNA from 1 species
AUGAUUUCCAGGCCUGAGAUCCAGAACAGACUGAAUGCCUGCGCCCCAUCCCAUGUGCCCCACAGUCCAUGGAGCGGCAGGCAUGAAGGAAGACAUUCAAGAUACACAUGGCUCCAGUCCAACGUCAUCUUGAAUGGCUGGAGGGGGCCUCCUGCCCGUCUGGGUGUCGCUUGGGAAGAAGCCAGUUCCCAGGAUGGGAGGUGGCCACCAGCCAGCCCUGCAUUCCAGAAGCAGUUUUCCCAAAUGGAAGGGGAAGCAAGUGUAGGGAGAGACCCAGGCAGCCUGAGGCAGGGUGGUGGUGGAGGACUUCCAGCCGGGCAGGGCGUCUGCCUUUCUCUUCCAGAGAGAAGAGGAUGCAAAUCUCAAGGCUGGGAUGGGUAGCUCCAGGGCAGAGUCCCUGUCUGACAAGAUGAUCACGAGGGGCAGCUCACUCUGCCCUCUGUGCCCGCUGUAUUUCAUCCCUGGACGUGGGGCAGAGUGGGUAGUACGUGUAUACUGGGCUCAGGGAAUAAACAGAAAUGACCCCUG